rnacentral:pre_miRNA from 1 species
GUGACAGAAGAGAGUGAGCACAGAGGGUUCUACUUUCUUGAAUGCAUGGAAGAGAAGAGAAGCUCUGUGUGCUCACCCCUCUAUCUGUCAC